UAUCAUUGUGCUUUUCUCUUCCGCUUUAUGAUUAUGUGAACGACAAAAUUUUACGUAUCCGACAAUUAUUUUUCAUAUUGCAUUUUCUUUUUUUUAAUAUUCAGAAAUUCAAGUCCAAAGGUCCUACAUCUUCUAGAGGCAGAAUCCUAACCAGAUAAAAAGAUCUCUUCCAAUAUGCUUCGAACUCAGCACCUCUACCUGAAAGAUUUAUCACUGGACCGACAACACGUGAGUCGUAUUGCGUUCUCAAGAGCAAGGUUUUUCUAAU
rnacentral:sRNA from 1 species